rnacentral:rRNA from 1 species
AGGAUGAACGCUAGCGGCAGGCCUAAUACAUGCAAGUCCAACGGUGAUAGCUAUAUCAUAGUGGCGCACGGGUGCGUAACACGUAUGCAACCUACCUAUUAUUGGGGGAUAGCCUUCUGAAACGGAGAUUAAUACCGCAUAAUACGAUUGACUGGCAUCGGUUGAUUGUUAAAGCUUUGGCGAUAAUAUAUGGGCAUGCGUCCAAUUAGUUAGUUGGUUAGGUAACGGCUGACCAAGACAAUGAUUGGUAGGGGAUCUGAGAGGAUAAUCCCCCACACUGGCACUGAGAUACGGGCCAGACUCCUACGGGAGGCAGCAGUAGGGAAUAUUGGGCAAUGGGCGGAAGCCUGACCCAGCCAUGCCGCGUGCAGGAAGAAGGCGUUAUGCGUUGUAAACUGCUUUUUUAUAGGAAGAAGGAUCCCUUGCGAGGGAAGGUGACGGUACUAUAAGAAUAAGCACCGGCUAACUCCGUGCCAGCAGCCGCGGUAAUACGGAGGGUGCAAGCGUUGUCCGGAUUUAUUGGGUUUAAAGGGUGCGUACGCGGUUUAUUAAGUCAGUGGUGAAAGACGGUCG